rnacentral:lncRNA from 1 species
CUUUUUUUUUUUUUUUUUUUUUUUUUUCCAUGCUGUGUAGUUUAUCUAUAAGACUGUUACUUAUCUGUUUUGGAAGGAUAGAUUUGUUUAUCAAGAGUGAAUUUGAUAAACUCUUUCAUUACUUUGUCCUUCUGUUGCUUUAAAAAGAGAAACUGUACUUGCAUGCCUUUUGUGAAGGAAUGUAUCAGAAUUUCUCACAAAUUAGAGAAAAUAGUCAGAAUAUAGCUUGGUUGCAAACUACAACAAAUGCUUCACAAUGUCACCUUAUACCAGCAAAAAGAAGCAUAAGAAUUUAACCUUAUUUUCUUUACAGCAACUUUUUUUAUAUAAUUGUAUAAUUUAUGUUGAAAUUAUACCCACUUUUAAUUUAAAAUAAAAACAAACAUUACCAUCAUUAAAAGAAAUACAUACAGUUUGCUAUUAUUAUUGUUGUUAUUAAUAUUAUUAUUAUAAUCUAACUGGAAUUAUGUGGCAGACUAAAUAUUCUGCAGCAUCUCUUGCACCCUUUGUGAUUUCAGCUGUGACAGGAGUGGCCAAAAACUUAAUAGGUUUCUUGCUCUAAGGCAAAAUCUGUUCAUAGCACUUAAAACAUUGCCAAACACAUCAUGAAAAAUUAAUUUAAUAGUAUUUUAUCAUAUUUUAUUUUGGCAGAUUUUGAAUAUUCUUUCAUUUUGAUAGAGAGAUGCACUCAUCUAAGUAAGUUCACCUGUAACUUAGCUUACCUAUAUCCCUCCAAAAAUUGCAGACAUACUGACUUCUAAUAGGGCUGCUUUUCUUUCAGUAAAGUUUAAAUUUGUUUAAUUGGCCAGAGACUAUUGAAUUUAAAUAAUAAGUUAAACUAUUUUGAAGGUGUUUAGCAUAUGGCCUCUAAUGGAUACACCUCUUUUUGACUUCAAGUUACAAGUGUACUUCUCCAAAAAGAAAUCCUCAGUAAUGCUUCAAGUCUCUCUCAUUGUAAUCCUGUUAAAUAAAAGCAUUUUCUGGGUGAUGAACAUUAUAGCGAUCCUGCAGAAACUCCUAAUUUAUUUUACAUCAGACCAUCGCAUUAUACAUUACUUCUGGACUCAAGAGUAUUUCUUAUGUUUUGCAUUCAGUACCAACAGAGAAUAUAUGCUAGUUUAAUAACAUUGGAAUGUUCAAUUCUAAUUGCAGAAUGAUUAUAAAAGUGGCCUAAGAUCUUUAUUCAGGACAUUAGUAUAUGAAAAAUAGGUGCUUUUUAUAUCAAAAUGAGAACUCUGACUCUCAGACCAUGAAUAUCAAGGCACUAGUCAAGGGAUUUCUCAUCUUCAUGUGGUCAUCUUGUUAGGAUGAAGUGAUAAGAUGUUCCUUGGUAAAUGCUCCAUCCCUGGCAGUGUCCAAGGCCAGGUUGGACAGAGCCUUGGGCGACAUGGUCUGGUGUGAGAUGUCCCUGCCCGUGGCAUAGGAGUUGGAACUAGAUAAUCUUAAGGUCCUUUUCAACCCUAACCAUUCUACAGUUCUAUGAUUCUUUGGUGUCCUGACACCAACACAAAACUUGUCUCAAGAAGAAAAAA